rnacentral:rRNA from 1 species
UGGGGAAUUUUGGACAAUGGGCGCAAGCCUGAUCCAGCAAUGCCGCGUGAGUGAAGAAGGCCUUCGGGUUGUAAAGCUCUUUUGUCAGGGAAGAAACGGUAGUCUCUAAUACAGAUUGCUAAUGACGGUACCUGAAGAAUAAGCACCGGCUAACUACGUGCCAGCAGCCGCGGUAAUACGUAGGGUGCAAGCGUUAAUCGGAAUUACUGGGCGUAAAGCGUGCGCAGGCGGUUAUAUAAGUCAGAUGUGAAAUCCCCGGGCUCAACCUGGGAACUGCAUUUGAGACUGUAUGGCUAGAGUGUGUCAGAGGGGGGUAGAAUUCCACGUGUAGCAGUGAAAUGCGUAGAUAUGUGGAGGAAUACCGAUGGCGAAGGCAGCCCCCUGGGAUAACACUGACGCUCAUGCACGAAAGCGUGGGGAGCAAACAGGAUUAGAUACCCUAGUAGUCCACGCCCUAAACGAUGUCUACUAGUUGUCGGGACUUAAUUGUCUUGGUAACGCAGCUAACGCGUGAAGUAGACCGCCUGGGGAGUACGGUCGCAAGAUUA